rnacentral:rRNA from 1 species
GUUCUUCGGAGCCAGAGACCGGCGCACGGGUGCGUAACGCGUAUGCAAUCUACCUUUUACAGAGGGAUAGCCCAGAGAAAUUUGGAUUAAUACCUCAUAGUAUGUGAGAAUCGCAUGGUUUUCACAUUAAAGUUCCAACGGUAAAAGAUGAGCAUGCGUCCCAUUAGCUAGAUGGUAAGGUAACGGCUUACCAUGGCAACGAUGGGUAGGGGUCCUGAGAGGGAGAUCCCCCACACUGGUACUGAGACACGGACCAGACUCCUACGGGAGGCAGCAGUGAGGAAUAUUGGACAAUGGGCGCAAGCCUGAUCCAGCCAUGCCGCGUGCAGGAUGACGGUCCUAUGGAUUGUAAACUGCUUUUGUACAGGAAGAAACACUCCCUCGUGAGGGAGCUUGACGGUACUGUAAGAAUAAGGAUCGGCUAACUCCGUGCCAGCAGCCGCGGUAAUACGGAAGAUCCAAGCGUUAUCCGGAAUCAUUGGGUUUAAAGGGUCCGUAGGCGGUUUAAUAAGUCAGUGGUGAAAGCCCAUCGCUCAACGGUGGAACGGCCAUUGAUACUGUUAAACUUGAAUUAUUAGGAAGUAACUAGAAUAUGUAGUGUAGCGGUGAAAUGCUUAGAGAUUACAUGGAAUACCAAUUGCGAAGGCAGGUUACUACUAAUGGAUUGACGCUGAUGGACGAAAGCGUGGGUAGCGAACAGGAUUAGAUACCCUGGUAGUCCACGCCGUAAACGAUGGAUACUAGCUGUUGGGCGCAAGUUCAGUGGCUAAGCGAAAGUGAUAAGUAUCCCACCUGGGGAGUACGU